ACCCGCUCGCCCCUCUACGCCGCCACGUCGUCGGUGAGGGGAUAAGGCCGCCCCUCUUCCCUGGAACCCUAGCUACCUCCCCAGAUCUGCUUGCUCGCCCCCCUCGCUCCUCUCCUGCACCCCCACGCUCUUCCCUUCCUUCCCCAGAUCCGCCGUCGAGCGCCACCAUCGCCAUGGCUCCGGCGUAGCCGCGCCUACCGUCAUCCCCGCGUCUCGCCUCCCUGUCCAUUCGCCUCGCGGGCGUCUUCUUCACCGUCUACGCCAAGCGCCUGGAGCCGGGGAGCACGGCAGCGCUCGCUCCACCGUCGGACGCACCGGAGCUCACCGUCGAUCCACGCCGCCCCGAGAACCUCGAGUCAUCCCCGGGCCUCCUCUGCAACGCCACGCUGUGACGGCUGUCGAUGCCAUUGUGAUCGACUACGUCGACGACGACCCCUCCUUCUCGCCUGAGCAACCAGAUGGUGGAUCCUUGGAGCCAGAUGCUACCAUCGACGGAUACUACUACAUGGAGGCCACGGAAGACCAGGGGUAGUUAGGAGGUCCUGGGCAGGAGGCCUUGCCUCUUCGAUCGUGUUGCUUUUGUGCUAGCCUUCUUAAGGCAUCCUUGUUUAAUUUAUGUCUGUUCUCAGAUAUUGUUGCUUCCGCUGACUCUUGUGUAUCGAGCUAUGUAUUCGAGCCCUCGAGGCACCUGGCUUGUAAUAUAAAGCUUGUAUUAUUUUAUUUGUGUCUAGAGUUGUGUUGUGAUAUCUUCCAGUGAGUCCCUGAUUUUGAU
rnacentral:rRNA from 1 species